GCCGGGCGUGGUGGCACACGCCUGUAAUCCCAGUGACUCAGGUGGCUGAGGCAGGAGGAUCACAAGUCUGAGGCGAGCCUCAGAAACUUAGUGAGAAUUUGUUUCAA
rnacentral:sRNA from 1 species